rnacentral:rRNA from 1 species
UACGAAGGGUGCAAGCGUUGUUCGGAAUCAUUGGGCGUAAAGCGCGCGCAGGCGGAUUGAUAAGUCAGGUGUGAAAUCCCGGGGCUCAACCUCGGAACUGCGCCUGAAACUAUUAGUCUAGAACGUCGGAGGGGGCAGGGGAAUUUCACGUGUAGGGGUAAAAUCCGUAGAGAUGUGAAGGAACACCGGAGGCGAAGGCGCCUGCCUGGACGACUAUUGACGCUGAGGCGCGAAAGCGUGGGGAGCAAACAGG